GGGGACGGACGUCUUGCUGGCUUGUCAGAGAGGUCCCUUCUGCUGGUGUGCUGAAGUUAUGUGUUCACGUGGGAGCACGUGGAAAGGACGACCGUGAGUGCUGCUGCCGCGGCCUGCUGGUAGCCGUGACCCAGUUUCCCCGCUAUCCCCUUGAACUGCCUGGAGGUGUCCCAACGCACCCGAGCCACGACUCAGGCCUGCAACGAGGGGUUUGCUAGCAGAAAGACUGUAGCACUUGAGGUGUGUGUGUGUUUGGUGAGAGUGUGUGUGGGCCCACAAUAUUAUUUGAUUAUUUUGUUUCUGUUGAGGUAGAUACCUUACCAUUGUUUAACAAACUUUAUUGAUUUUACUUAUUUUCUUUUGUGUUGUUAAUUAAGCAUUCACUAAAGUGGAGUUAACUUUA